GGGGGGGGGUCGGGAGACUCUCGUUUCGCGCCGGGAGAAUAAACGCCCACCUUCGGGGUAGCCAGCCGCCGCCGGCGAUAUUACCUCGAUCCCCUUGAGAGGGGGAAGCUAAGCGAGAACGGCGACGUUCUUCGGGCACCUCGAGCGCACAAGGUAGUACCCGAAAGGUGGUGAUCUAUGCCUCGCCAGGAUGAAGCUAGAGGAAACUCUGGUGGAGGUCCGAAGCGGUUCU
rnacentral:rRNA from 1 species